GAGUUUGAUCCUGGCUCAGGAUGAACGCUGGCGGCGUGCCUAAUACAUGCAAGUCGAGCGAACGGACGAGAAGCUUGCUUCUCUGAUGUUAGCGGCGGACGGGUGAGUAACACGUGGGUAACCUACCUAUAAGACUGGGAUAACUCCGGGAAACCGGGGCUAAUACCGGAUAACACAUGAAACCGCAUGGUUUCAUGAUGAAAGACGGUCUUGCUGUCACUUAUAGAUGGAUCCGCGCUGCAUUAGCUAGUUGGUAAGGUAACGGCUUACCAAGGCAACGAUGCAUAGCCGACCUGAGAGGGUGAUCGGCCACACUGGAACUGAGACACGGUCCAGACUCCUACGGGAGGCAGCAGUAGGGAAUCUUCCGCAAUGGGCGAAAGCCUGACGGAGCAACGCCGCGUGAGUGAUGAAGGUCUUCGGAUCGUAAAACUCUGUUAUUAGGGAAGAACAUAUGUGUAAGUAACUGUGCACAUCUUGACGGUACCUAAUCAGAAAGCCACGGCUAAC
rnacentral:rRNA from 1 species